UAGGGAAUCUUCCGCAAUGGGCGAAAGCCUGACGGAGCAACGCCGCGUGAGUGAUGAAGGUCUUCGGAUCGUAAAACUCUGUUAUUAGGGAAGAACAAAUGUGUAAGUAACUAUGCACGUCUUGACGGUACCUAAUCAGAAAGCCACGGCUAACUACGUGCCAGCAGCCGCGGUAAUACGUAGGUGGCAAGCGUUAUCCGGAAUUAUUGGGCGUAAAGCGCGCGUAGGCGGUUUUUUAAGUCUGAUGUGAAAGCCCACGGCUCAACCGUGGAGGGUCAUUGGAAACUGGAAAACUUGAGUGCAGAAGAGGAAAGUGGAAUUCCAUGUGUAGCGGUGAAAUGCGCAGAGAUAUGGAGGCACACCAGUGGCGAAGGCGACUUUCUGGUCUGUAACUGACGCUGAUGUGCGAAAGCGGGGGGAUCAAACAGG
rnacentral:rRNA from 1 species